rnacentral:misc_RNA from 1 species
UCUAAGGAUCGGGCGGAGAAAUCCUCCCGUGACUUACACAGAGGGUACGGAUGAGGGACUCAGCCCGAACCGUAUCCAUCCUGGCUCGCCGCCUUCGCAUCCCUUCCACAUCGGACAUGACGAGCGACGCUCGUCCUGGGCUUGUAGCUCAGUUGGUUAGAGCGCGCGCUUGAUAAGCGUGAGGUCGGAAGUUCAAGUCUUCCCAGGCCCACCAGUCACUGGCCAUGGCAGCGGAAAGAACGCGCCGGCCGGUCCGAUGUGAGAAGAAGAGUUCGCCGGAUCUCUGAUCCGGCGGGAUGUUGAACAUAGUGAAUAGGGUUUGAGUGUGAAACUGACCUCGGACGAGGUCGGUCGAUCAGCAAUGGUCGAUCGAAUUCGUCCGUUACGCGUUGCAGUCCGGUCUGCGAUUGAGCGGCUGGAUCUGGGGCGAGACACUUUCCGGUGUCGCCCUUUGGAGGACCUUGUGUCCCUGCGCGUGGGAGAGAAAUCAAGCGUCUAAGAAGGGCAUCUGGUGGAUGCCUUGGCACUGAGAGGCGAUGAAGGACGUGACACGCUGCGAUAAGCCGUGGGGAGGGGCGAGCACCCUUUGAUCCGCGGAUUUCCG